rnacentral:rRNA from 1 species
AGAGUUGAUCCUGGCUCAGAACGAACGCUGGCGGCGUGCCUAACACAUGCAAGUCGAGCGCGAACGGGGGGCAACUCCCUAGUAGAGCGGCGCACGGGUGAGUAACACGUAGGUAACCUACCCUCGAGCCUGGGAUAACCUACCGAAAGGUGGGCUAAUACCGGAUAUGACCACGGGAGUUUCGGCUCCUGCGGUGAAAGAUGGCCUAUGCUUGCAAGCCAUCACUCGUCGAUGGGCCUGCGCGCCAUUAGCUAGUUGGCGGGUAACGGCCCACCAAGGCUUUGAUGGCUAGCUGGUCUGAGAGGAUGGCCAGCCACACUGGGACUGAAACGCGGCCCAGACUCCUACGGGAGGCAGCAGUGGGGGAUCUUGCGCAAUGGGCGAAAGCCUGACGCAGCCGACGCCGCGUGGGUGAUGAAGGCCUUCGGGUCGUAAAGCCCUGUCGAGGGGAAAGAAACGGUCGGGGUCUAAUAGGCCCCGACUUUGACGGUACCCCUAAAGGAGGCACCGGCUAACUCCGUGCCAGCAGCGGC